rnacentral:rRNA from 1 species
AGUAGUCAUACACUUGUCUUAAAGAUGAAGCCAUGCAUGUGUAAGUAUGAACUAAUUCAGACUAUGAAAUUAUGAAUGGCUCAUUAAAUUAGUUGUAGUUUUUUUAAUGGUAUCUACUAAUUAAAUAACUAUAGUAAUUCUAGAGCAAAUACAUGCAACAAACCCUAACUUCUGAAAAUGAUGCAUUUUUUAGAUAAAAGGUCGACGCAAGCAUUGCCUAUUGAUCUAAUGAUUCAUGAUAACUCGAUGGAUUGCAUGGCCUUUGUGUCGAUGAUGCAUCAUUCAAAUUUUUAUCCUAUAAACUUUUGAUGGUAGGAUAAUGGCCUACUAUGGUGGUGAUGGGUGAUGGAGAAUUAAGGUUUGAUUUUAGAAAAGGAGCCUAAGAAAUGGCUACCACAUCCAAGGAAGGCAGCAGUGCACAAUUUACCUAAUCCUGACAUAGGGUGCUAGUGACAAUAAUUCACAACACUAGGCUCUAUGAGUUUGGUAAUUGGAAUGAGUACAAUCUAAAUCCCUUAAUAAGGAUCCAUUUAAGGGCAAGUCUAGUGCCAAUAGCCAUGAUAAUUCUAGCUUUAAUAGCAUUUAUUGAAGUUGUUGCAGUUAAAAAGCUUAUAGUUGGAAUUAGGUUUGCAUUGUCUGAUUUGCCUCACAGUAAGCACUGAUCUACUUAUCCCUACUACCAGUAAUGCACUCCUAUUCUUAACUAGUUGAGUUAUUCCUCCGGCACUAUUAUUUUGAAAAAAAUUAGAGUGCUCAAAGCAAGCCUAUGCUUAUAUACAUUAGCAUGGGAUAACAUCAUAGGAUUUUGAUCCUAUAGUGUUGGCCUUCAGGAUCGGAGUAAGGAUUAAAAGGGACAGUCAGGGACAUUCGUAUUUCAUAGUCAAAAGUGAAAUUCUUGGAUUUAUGAAAGAUGAACAACUAUGAAAGCAUUUGCCAAGGCUAUUUUCAUUAUUCAAGAAUAAAAGUUAGGGCUUGAAGAUGAUCAGAUAUUGUCCUAGUCUUAACCAUAAAUAAUGCCGACCAGGGAUCGAUGGAUGUUACUUUUAGGACUCCAUCGACAACUUAUGAGAGAUCAAAGUCUUUGGGUUUAGAGGGGAGUAUGGUUACAAGGCUGAAACUUAAAGGAAUUGAUGGAAGGGCACCACCAAGAGUGGAGCCUACAUCUUAAUUUGACUCAACAUGGGGAAACUUACCAAGUAUAGAUAUAGUAAGGAUUGACAAACUGAAAGUUUUUUCUUGAUUCUAUGGGUGGUAGUGCAUGGCCAUUCUUACUUGAUGGAGUGAUUUAUCUGCUUAAUUCUGUUAAUGAAUGAGACCUCAACUUGCUAACUAGCUACGUGAAGGUGAUUUUUUGUGGCUAGCUUCUUAGAAGGACUAUGGUCACUUAGGCCAAAGAAGUUUAAGGCAAUAACAAGUUUGUGAUGCCUUUAGAUGUUUUGGGCCACAUGCACCCUACAUUGAUGUAUUCAACAAGUCCAUAGCCUUGGUCGACAAGCUUGGGUAAUCUUUGAAAUGUCAUCAUGAAAAUGAUAGAUCAUUGUAAUUGUUGGUCUUCAAUGAGGAAUUCCUAGUUCGUGCAAGUCAUCAACUCGAUGGACUAUGUCAUUGCCUUCUGUACACACUGCCCGACACUUUUACUAAUUAAAUGGUCUGAUGAAGUGUUUGGAUCAUGGUAACAUUGAUGGUUCAUUGGCCAUGAUGUCACGAGAAGUCCACUCAACCUUAUCAUUUAAAGGAAGAAGAAGUCGCAAAAGGUUUCCGUAGGUGAACCUACAGAAG